UACAGAGGUCCCAAGCGUUGUUCGGAUUCACUGGGCGUAAAGGGUGCGUAGGUGGUUGGGUAAGUCUGAUGUGAAAACUCCGGGCUCAACUCGGAGACGCCACUCGAUACUGCUAUGACUCGAGUCCGGUAGGGGAGUGCGGAAUUCCUGGUGUAGCGGUGAAAUGCGCAGAUAUCAGGAGGAACACCGGUGGCGAAGGCGGCACUCUGGGCCGGUACUGACGCUGAGGAGCGAAAGCGUGGGGAGCGAACAGG
rnacentral:rRNA from 1 species